rnacentral:misc_RNA from 1 species
UCUCCGUUGGUGAACCAGCGGAGGGAUCAUUGCUGGAACACGCCUCACGGCGUACCCAGAAACCCUUUGUGAACUUAUAAGACCCAAUCGUUGCCUCGGCAAGGCUGGGGGACGUCACGUCCCUCCCGCUCUCUCUCGGGGCGGAGCAGGUCUGCCGGCGGCCCCACCAAACUCUUGUUUUUAGUGUCUCUUCUGAGUUAAACAAACAAAUGAAUCAAAACUUUCAACAACGGAUCUCUUGGUUCUGGCAUCGAUGAAGAACGCAGC